GACGAACGCUGGCGGCGUGCUUAACACAUGCAAGUCGAACGGAAAGGCCCUGCUUUUGUGGGGUGCUCGAGUGGCGAACGGGUGAGUAACACGUGAGUAACCUGCCCUUGACUUUGGGAUAACUUCAGGAAACUGGGGCUAAUACCGGAUAGGAGCUCCUGCUGCAUGGUGGGGGUUGGAAAGUUUCGGCGGUUGGGGAUGGACUCGCGGCUUAUCAGCUUGUUGGUGGGGUAGUGGCUUACCAGGGCUUUGACGGGUAGCCGGCCUGAGAGGGUGACCGGCCACAUUGGGACUGAGAUACGGCCCAGACUCCUACGGGAGGCAGCAGUGGGGAAUAUUGCACAAUGGGCGGAAGCCUGAUGCAGCAACGCCGCGUGCGGGAUGACGGCCUUCGGGUUGUAAACCGCUUCCGCCUGUGACGAAGCGUGAGUGACGGUAAUGGGUAAAGAAGCACCGGCUAACUACGUG
rnacentral:rRNA from 1 species